CGUUAUGGAAUGUAUUUUGUAAGGUCCCAUCCCGCCGCAUCCCUCGCCGAUUUGAACGGUUGAGAUCUGUCCGAACUGGGUCCCGAAGAUUGGUUAAAGGUAAAACAGAGAGAGCUUAAAGAGAGAAAGACAAAGACUGAAACUUGUAAUCUUAUUGCUCAAAGGUUUUAGGUUACAAAGCUAAUGUAUUUAAAGACUGUAAAGAAGGAUCUAGACACAGGCCAGCCAGCUGUCUUCUUAGGAACCAUCAACGGUCAAGAGAGCAUAUCGGUUGUGCAGCUGCAAUCUCUGCCUCUCCGUACUCUUUGAGCUGCAUCUUUGAAUACGGUUUGUUGCAGAGACAGCUACUGCUUCUUUGUCUCUAUUCACCAUUUGAAUGGGCUUCGUAGUGGGCUUCGUCUUAUGGCAUUGGGCUGCCAUAACCCUCUGUUUCUGAGCUACGUUAAUAUUGGUUUCCAUUGAUCUUUCUUGAUCAGAAGAGGCGACGAGAACCCGCAACAUGACGGUACAGCAGCGACGUCGUUUUCUUCGUCCGACGACUCAUCAAACUCUUCAGACUUAGCCCACGACUUGGUGCAGAGUAAUACAAGAAAGAGAAGAACAAAGAGUGGUAACACCGUAAACUUAGUCAUCUCUGUAAUUUUUCUAAUAAAUGUUUAUGCUAUCCGCUGCGUAUUAAAUCGUACAAUAUAAAGGGAACGGGAGAAAUAGACACUGUAGGGUAUACAAUCACUACGUGUUUUAAUUGUUUGUACACGUGCUUGUAUUACGUCGACAAGUGCAUGGUUCUUUGAUAACAAUUUAAAUUACCCGCUAAGAUACAAAGCUCAAAUUUUAAAAAUCGGGAUGAUAAGAACCGUUGAUGAUAGUAGAGCUGAGACAUAGUUUGUAUCGCAAGACCAAUUAUAUGUCGGGCGUCAGGGGUUUAAAAUAUUGUAUUUUCCACUGAAGUCGUGUUACCAACUUACCAUGCAUGGGCCACUUCGUCCAAGGGAACGCAUACGUGAUUCAUUUCUUUAUUGGUGCUUGGCUGAAAGCCAACAAAAGAUAAAAUUUUGUCGUAACGUUUUUCAAAGGGUAAAAUGUUUGAUGGAUCACAAUCGUUUAGUGUUUGGGCCAAAAACCAAACGUAUGCCUGCACUUGGGUGGCAACCAACUAUACUUGCAUGCAUUAGAAUUGAGAUCGUCAUUCUCAUCAUAUUUUCUAUUACUGGAUACUGUAACGUACGUUCUCAACUUCGUUUCCAUCUAAAAACAUCUUUUUUUACAGGCAACAAAGCAAAACCUGAAAUUGGUAUGCUAAAGCUCUCGAUGCAUUUCUUAACACAUGUUUUAAUAUUUAAAAAAAUACUAACCAAUAAGAAAAUGAGAAGUUAUUGCACAGUUGAUUAAAUAAUGCUUCAACUGUCUCUUGUUGAAGAGAAUUCUCUUUCCUCUCACAUCACUUUUCCUAUUUUUCUGAAUUAUUUCAUUUAUUCUUUUUACAAGAAACCUUUCUAGAUACAUGUCCCUGCGGAUGUCUUUAGAACAUGUUUAUUGGUAGCUUUUAAGUAGGGUUCUUAGGUAAAUUUAGAUUAAAAUUAAAUGAAAAACACCAAUUAGCGUUGCUUAGAGCACCUUUAUCCCAGAAACGUGAUUGGGUUUCUAAUUUUCUAAUUUUUAUUUUAUUUUUUCUGAUUUAUAAGAGACGCUCAGCAGAUACUCUUAAUUAACUGAGCGAAGAGCCCGUUCCUUAGUGCCACGUGUCUGAAGUUCAUAGGAGAGAGGAGAGGUGGUGCUCUCGGUUUCGCCUAUUCUCUUCUUUCCCUUCUUGGAGACAGAUCGGGUCUGAUCUUCACGCGAAGAGAGUCGGGGUCAGCCCAAUUCACGAUCAGGAUGAGGAAUCGAUGGGCUAGGGCUAAUAUCAGUGCUCGUGUUGCUUCUCUCCAAUCUCUGAAACUCGAUGUCUUCGCGCUUCAGGGUCUCAAACCAGCAGCUGAUCUCCGUUGUCACGUUCUGUUGGAAGCUCGAGGCGUCUACAGCGGUGAUGUCAAACCGGAGAAUCUGCGUUUAGACCAGAAGCGGACAUCUUCAAUCGACAGUGGCUAGGUUAGAUGAAUGGAGAGUCAGAAGAAGAGAUACUGAGGAAUAGAUGCGACACAUGCAAUUACCACAGAAGUUACAAGAGCGUGUGAGGUGGUUCGUCCAAUACAAAUGGUUAACCACUCGUGGAGUCGAUGAAGAAGCCAUCCUCCGUGCUCUACCAUUGGAUCUCCCCUUGUCCACGAGAACCGUGAGAAGUCUCUCUGAAGUUGAAGCUUUCGCUCUCAGAGCUGAGGACUUAAAGUUCGUAGCUAAUCAAUUCAGACGCCUCCACAGCAACAAACUCCAACAUGCUUUCAGAUACUAUUUGCAUCAAUGGAGGGCUUGGGGAACUGGUUUUAUACAAGCUGCAUGGAGACGAUACAUGAAGAGGAAUUUAAGUGUAUCUCCAACUCAUAGCUCUUUUGUCUUAUCUUUCAUAAUAGGAAACAUAUAAUAAUUUCUUGAUUAUAACAAUAUUUAAGAGCAUGACAACAAGGAGUGAAAGGUGCUUUGACUAUUGCAGCAGAGAUGUUUGAGUUGACACCGUCGUUGGUUGUUGUUGAGGUGAAGAAGAAAGGAAAAGAUAUAACAUAGUACGAAGAGUUUUUGUAACAGUGAAUUGAAACCCAUGUUGCAGAAUCUGACAGCUGAUGAUGUGAAAGAGCCUGUAGCGGUUUCAGCGGUUGAUGUAAUCUGGAAAGAAAACGGUGUUCCUCUAUUGGUUCCUCUCCUCGACCACGGAAGACGGCGAGAUCUCUCUCAUGGUAGCUUUUGGAGAGGAAGAAAAACGGUGACUGUUAAUGCUCAGACAAAUCGAAAGGUAAAAAUGAGUUUUAAUGUUUGAAUAUUUCAAUUAUGCAUGUCUUAAUAAUUUCAAUUAGAUUAUCGUUUAUUUUAGUAAUCUUUGUUUUUAUGUUUUUAUGUUUCUUUUAAAUCUAUGUUUAAAAUGUUAUGUUUGACUUUGUUUUAUUUAAUAAAUAAAUUUAAUCUUUAUUUAAAAUUUUAUGUUAAAAAUUAAUUUAAUAUUUUUUAUUGUUAAGAGCUUUUAUUAAGAAACUACAAUUAAACCAUUAUAAUUAAGUGUCUCUUAACAAAGUUUCUUAUCUCACUUUUAAGAGUUAAAAAUUCACUGAGAACCCGUAAGUGGGUUUUACCAAUAAACAUGCUCUAAGAAACUACCAUUAAGAGAUGUAAUAGACGUCUUUUAGCUUUUUAGGUUGGGUCUAAGAAACUAACAUUAAAAAGCUAAGAAACUAUCAUUUAAAAGCUAAAAGACCGUAUAUUAUAUUAUGCUAAGAGACCCAACCUAAGAGACCUGCAAUAAACAUGCUCUUAGAGCAGCAAUGUGGUUUCUCAGCUCCUCUCUUAAACAUACAAUAAUAAUAUAAUUUAGCAUUUUAACUAAAAUUUAAAUAGAAAAGCCCUAAAUUAAUUACGUGUUGACACCUUGUAGAAAAAGCUCUCACACUCUUGAAAACAUCUCUGAGAGAAGAAUCGUUUCCCUCUAUCUCUCCUACUUUCCCUCCCUCUCUCCUCUUUUGUCUAGUUGCUUUAUAUUACUAAGACCAAGAUUAAUUCGGGCUCUUAGGGUAGGAUUCUUAGCUUCGGUUAAGAACCGUCCCUUAAAUAAGAGAUAUAAGAACCCGCUCUUAGCCAAAAAAUGUAAAAAAAAAAUAAAAAGUGUUAAAUCAUGAGUUAAGAACUCUAAAUUAAGAACCCGGGAUAAUCAUGCUCUUAGAUAACAAAUUAUAUUUUGGAGAUACAUAUGUGUGAUCGUAGACAAAGAAACAAUAAAUAAGAACCAAAGGAAAGAUAUAUGCGUACAAACUACAAAUUAAGAUUAUCUAAAAUGAAUGAUAACAUAUUACAAAUCCUCAUGAUAAAAGGAUAUUAACUAAUAAUAAACGUGUAAUAUAGUUUCAAAAAUAAAUAAAUAAACAAACGUGUAAUAUAGAAUAUGUUGCAAUAUAGAACAUCCUCCAUGUGAUAAAAAAACAUUCUCCAUUUAUUUUUUAGUCGGUGCAUUAUUGACUAUAUAUUAAUCUUUUAUUAGCUGAAUUUCUUAUUUUAAUGUACGCCGAAUUUUUGAUCCAAAAAAAAAAUGUACGCCGAAUUCAUAACACCAGCUAAAUUUACAGUGGUGAAAAAAUUUCUACUGCACUUUACAAAGCUGACUGAAUAUAUGCUUUGUUUCAUUCACUACAAGAAAACAACGGUAUUCUGACGGACGUUCCGACGGAAAAUGAAUUCCUCGGAAUAUACCGAGGAAUUUCCGAGGCAAUUCCGAGGAAACACAAAAUUUGGCUUCCUCGGAAUUUCCUCGGAAUAUUCCGACGGAAUUCCGAGGAAAAUUCAUCUCGUCGGAAUAUUCCGACGGAAUACUGAGGAAACUAGUAUUCCUCGGAAAAAACCGAUGAAUUCCGAGGAAAUAUUAUAGACGUUAGAGAGCCGUUGGAGAGCCGUUGGGGGAUUUUAAAAAUUCCGAGGAAAUUCCGACGAACUAGCCGUUUGCAUCGGAAUUCCGUCAGAAUUUCUUCGGACCGUCGGCAAGAUUUCAACUAUAAAUACAAGCACCCCUCUUCCUCUUCAUUCACUCCAUAUCUUCAUCCUCCCUCUCACUUUCUUUACACACGAAUUUGAUUCUUAAA